rnacentral:lncRNA from 1 species
AUUUGAACAAAAUACGAACAACAAAAUCGAUUUGAAAAUCGAUACAGUAGGGAAUCGAUUCAGAGCUUGAUGAGGUUUGUGAGGUGAGAUUGAUCAAUGGAGUUUCUAGGUUUGUGAGGGAAUCGAUACAGCUUAAGUUUGUGAGGUUUGAGAUCAAUGGAGUUUGUGAGGUUUGAGAUCAAUGGAGUUUGUGAGAUUUUAGAUUGAUGAAGAAAAAGCCAUUUUGAGAUUGAUGAGCGUGUGAGUGUGAAUGGUACGGUACGUGUUUGUGAAAAAAAAAUCUCA